AGCUGAUUUUCACCCGUAAAAUCAUUUCACCAGUUUCUCUGCACGAAUACCGAGAGAAACCGAAGUGUGUUCUUCGUGUUCUUCGUAAUCAAAUGAGGAUUUGGAGGUGUUAUUGGAAUCCGAUGGAGGCGUAUGAAUAGUCAAAACGAAGCUCUCGACGCGUAGAAUAUAGUAUAAUCAACUAUAACGUUGCAGAUUCAUCAGGGUUUGGACGAGACGGAUACGAUCGAAGACGUUCAGAAGGUCAAACGAUGUUACAAAGCGAAUAAGGAACGAAUCGAGUAAACGAAGCAGUGUGGCGAAUAGAGUAUAGCCAAAGAUGGUCUAGAGACUAUGAUAUGCAUAGAGUGUGAAAGUGGAAAGAUGAGAUUGAGAUAUGAGACUGGAAUCGGAUUUAAGAAAAGCUUAGAGUUGAAUUGAGAUUGCGAGUAUGGCUAAGGCUAAGCGAGGAGUCAGAGUCAUAGAAUAUCCAGAGGACAAGUGGAAUGUUCAGGGAGAUUGACAAGGUUGGUUCUAGAUAGAGUUGUAUUAUGGAGAUUCAGUUGUAAGUCAUAAUUGAGGUAGACUGGCAGUGAUUCUUCUUAUCGAAGAUGAUCUGAGUUUGUAAGAUAAUGUUUAUUAAUAGUGGUUGAUUCUAAUUUCAA